AGAGUUUGAUCCUGGCUCAGAACGAACGCUGGCGGCAGGCUUAACACAUGCAAGUCGAACGCACCUUCGGGUGAGUGGCAGACGGGUGAGUAACGCGUGGGAACGUGCCCUUCGGUUCGGAAUAACCCAGGGAAACUUGGGCUAAUACCGGAUACGUGCGAGAGCAGAAAGAUUUAUCGCUGAAGGAUCGGCCCGCGUCUGAUUAGCUAGUUGGUGGGGUAAUGGCCCACCAAGGCGACGAUCAGUAGCUGGUCUGAGAGGAUGAUCAGCCACAUUGGGACUGAGACACGGCCCAAACUCCUACGGGAGGCAGCAGUGGGGAAUAUUGGACAAUGGGCGCAAGCCUGAUCCAGCCAUGCCGCGUGAGUGAUGAAGGCCUUAGGGUUGUAAAGCUCUUUCGGCGGGGACGAUAAUGACGGUACCCGCAGAAGAAGCCCCGGCUAACUUCGUGCCAGCAGCCGCGGUAAUACGAAGGGGGCUAGCGUUGUUCGGAAUCACUGGGCGUAAAGGGCGCGUAGGCGGCUUGAUAAGUCGGGGGUGAAAGCCUGUGGCUCAACCACAGAAUUGCCUUCGAUACUGUCUGGCUUGAGACCGGAAGAGGUAAGUGGAACUGCGAGUGUAGAGGUGAAAUUCGUAGAUAUUCGCAAGAACACCAGUGGCGAAGGCGGCUUACUGGUCCGGUUCUGACGCUGAGGCGCGAAAGCGUGGGGAGCAAACAGGAUUAGAUACCCUAGUAGUCC
rnacentral:rRNA from 1 species